rnacentral:rRNA from 1 species
ACGCUCGACACCUACGGUAGGCAGCAGUGGGGAAUAUUGCACAAUGGGGGAAACCCUGAUGCAGCGACGCCGCGUGAAGGAAGAAGUAUCUCGGUAUGUAAACUUCUAUCAGCAGGGAAGAAAGUGACGGUACCUGACUAAGAAGCCCCGGCUAACUACGUGCCAGCAGCCGCGGUAAUCUGAGCGGGCUGGCAAGGC